CAGGGCUUGACAUCCCGAUGACCGGUACAGAGAUGUACCUUCCCUUUGGGGCAUUGGAACAGGUGGUGCAUGGUUGUCGUCAGCUCGUGUCGUGAGAUGUUGGGUUAAGUCCCGCAACGAGCGCAACCCCUAUCCUUAGUUGCCAUCAGUUAAAGCUGGGCACUUUAAAGAGACUGCCGGGGAUAAAUCGGAGGAAGGUGGGGAUGACGUCAAAUCAUCAUGCCCCUUAUGUCCUGGGGUACCCCCGUGGUNCAAAGGCCUGUAACAGAGGGAAGCGAAGUCGUAAGGCGGAGCAAAUCUCAGAAACCCGUUCCCAGUUCGGAUUGUGGGCUGCAACUCGCCCACAUGAAGUNGGANNGCUAGUAAUCG
rnacentral:rRNA from 1 species